rnacentral:misc_RNA from 1 species
GAUUCGUCAACUCAAAACUCUAAGGUACAGAUCGAGCUAGCAGAAGGAUCCGUAGAUGGUUACUUUCUAGUACAGUUCCCUGUGCAGUAGAAUUUUGGAAAUGAGUUUGAUUUCACGACUGAGGCAUCAUUUGCCUUGUGUACUCUUGAGACAAUCUGUUCAAUCUAAUGUGGCUAACUCCCAUUUUGUUACCUCAACUGUCUUUACUCGACACUUUGGUCAGCCUGCUAGGAAAGAGGAAGAAGAGGAGGAAGAAGUAGAGAUUGACCAGAGAAAGCUUCCAGCUGAUUAUGAUCCUGCAAAUUUUGAUCCUACCGAGCAUCGCAGUCCUCCAUCGGAUAGGGUAUGGAGGCUUGUGGAUGAAGUUUCAGGACUUACCUUGGUUGAAGUUUCAGAACUGUCUUCGAUUCUUAUGAAGAAGUUGGGUAUGAGCGAGCAACCAAUGGUUGGGGUUAUGAAGGCAGGGGCUGCUGGAUUGGCAGCAGCAGCUAUGAAGGGACCAGAAGCAGCUAAGGAGGAAAAGAAACCAGAGAAAACUGUUUUUGAACUUAAACUGGAGUCAUAUGAGUCUGCUCAAAAGAUAAAGAUAAUCAAAGAAGUCCGAAGUUUUACUGAUUUGGGACUUAAGGAAGCAAAGGACUUAGUCGAGAAAACUCCUGCUGUUUUCAAGAAGGGAGUGUCAAAGGAAGAAGCAGAACAAAUAAUUAAGAAAAUGAAAGCUGUUGGAGCAAAAGUUGUUAUGGAAUGAAAACAAUGCACAAAAUAUUUGGUCUGAUAUCAGGUUCAUCCGAAAGUAUCUUGAAACUAGACUAUGCUUCAUUCAGCUAUGCAGUUUCCUUUCCCAAAAUCACUCUAUGUGGCUCAUGAAUAAUUUUGUCCAUCGUGUUUGAACAUGCUUAGCUGAAGAUGAACGCGACUUAGUUUUAGUCUACUCUUUGAUUCUACCUUGGGAUUAUUGAUUCUUUUCUUAUGGGUAGUAAUUCUGUUCUUGUUUCAAAAUGUUAUUUGCAGUAGUACUUUUGCUUGACUUUUUUCCUAAUGAAUAGUAUUGAUAAACUUGCAUCUUUUGCAAAGGUGAGGUUAUAUUAUUUUCUGAAUGAGAGCAUUGUUACAGUAAACAGAUAAAUCAAAUUAGAUA